GAUGCGAGCGCUACGGUCCUCAGGAGGCGUUCAGGUUCACCUGGUAAAAAUGAAACCCGCCCAUCUCCCGGUGAGCGGAGAAUACACUGGACGACUACAAAUUCUUAUUUGGGCAGAAAAUGGCAUGGCCAAUGCUUAUUUAAAACAUAUUGGAAAUAAUGAAGUGGAAAUAAUGAAGAUGAGAAAUUAGACCAGAUAUAAGUGUCAGGAUACGGCAGAGUGGACCCACAUGCACAGUGCCGGGACGCGAGGGGGAGGAAGAGGGAGGCUGAGAUGGAGUCUUCAAGAAGAAAGAGAAAGAAAAGCACACAGGUGAGACGCUGGGCUGUCAGUCUACGCUGAUGAGCCUGUUCUCAGGUGGUUUCACUCAGUGCCUCCUGCCAGGCUGCACUUUGAAUCUUAACUUCUGGAAAACACAUGUACACAUACAGAAAAUAUGCAUUUAAGAAAAAGAGCUGCACUGUUACCUCAAUGUAAAAUGCUGUGCACUUGAACACGUGUGAUUACAUGUGGGCACUGGUUCAUGAUAAGGAAAGAUUCUGUCUGAUUUAUUGCCCAGACACAUUCACUCUCUCUCUCCUCGUAAGGGACUCAGUACCCAGAUGUUCCGGCCGGGUCCAGGAGCACGGACGGCCCACUCCAUUCCCAGCACCACUCUGCAGACUGAAAAUAGAGUCGCCCUGGAGAAUGACAGUGACAGGCCGUUGAUGCUGGCGCCUCUUCGAUGCAGCCAACGGGGCCCAGCCUCGGCUCCUUCUCCACCAAUCACCGAGCCUCCAGCUGACCUGCAAACACACACCCCCAGCACACCU